rnacentral:rRNA from 1 species
GGGUGGGGUGACUGCGUACCUUUUGUAUAAUGGGUCAGCGACUUAUAUUCUGUAGCAAGGUUAACCGAAUAGGGGAGCCGGAGGGAAACCGAGUCUUAACCGGGCGUUAAGUUGCAGGGUAUAGACCCGAAACCCGGUGAUCUAGCCAUGGGCAGGUUGAAGGUUGGGUAACACUAACUGGAGGACCGAACCGACUAAUG